rnacentral:rRNA from 1 species
CAACCGGUGGAAACGCCGACUAAUCCCCGAUGGGAUAUUGUGCCGCAUGGCACGAUAUUGAAAGUUACGGCGGCGACGGAUUGGCUCGCGUCCGAUUAGCUGGUUGGCGGGGUAACGGCCCACCAAGGCUACGAUCGGUAGGGGUUCUGAGAGGAAGGCCCCCCACAAUGGGACUGAGACACGGCCCAUACUCCUACGGGAGGCAGCAGUGAGGAAUAUUGGUCAAUGGGCGGAAGCCUGAACCAGCCAUGCCGCGUGCGGGAAGGAGGCCCUAUGGGCUGUGAACCGCUUUUGCCUGGGGGCAAUAAGGGCGUCGCGCACGUCCGAUGAGAGUACCAGGCGAAUAAGCAUCGGCUAACUCCGUGCCAGCAGCCGCGGUAAUACGGGGGAUGCGAGCGUUAUCCGGAUUCAUUGGGUUUAAAGGGUGCGUAGGCUGUGCGUCAAGUCGGGGGUGAAAUUCCGGUGCUCAACACCGGGGCUGCCCUUGAUACUGUCGCGCUGGAGUGCGGAUGCCGCCGGAGGAAUGAGUGGUGUAGCGGUGAAAUGCUUAGAUAUCACUCAGAACACCGAUUGCGAAGGCAUCUGGCGAAUCCGUAACUGACGCUGAGGCACGAAAGCGUGGGGAUAGAACAGGAUUAGAUACCCUGGUAUUCCACGCCGUAAACGAUGAUGGCUAACCGCCGGCGACACACUGUCGGUGGCCAAGCGAAAGCGAUAAGCCAUCCACCUGGGGAGUACGUCGGCAACGAUGAAACUCAAAGGAAUUGACGGGGGCCCGCACAAGCGGAGGAACAUGUGGUUUAAUUCGAUGAUACGCGAGGAACCUUACCCGGGCUCGAACGGCACCUGGAUCGCCCAGAGAUGGGCGAGUCUUCGGACAGGUGUCGAGGUGCUGCAUGGUUGUCGUCAGCUCGUGCCGUGAGGUGUCGGCUCAAGUGCCAUAACGAGCGCAACCCUUGCCGCCAGUUGCCAUCAGGUGAUGCUGGGCACUCUGGCGGGACUGCCACCGCAAGGUGUGAGGAGGGGGGGGAUGACGUCAAAUCAGCACGGCCCUUACGUCCGGG